AUGUGUCCACAGGGCUGGGAAAAGUACUACCCACACACACAAAUGGUAUCUUUCCACCCUUCUCUCGUUUUCUCUCUCCUUCCUUCUCUCUCUCUCUGGCAGAGAGGCCACAACUGUAGCCCUCCAUGUGCGGCGGAUGUUUUCCACGAGCAAUGCGGCCAGCUUGGCUGCAGCUGUCCAAACCAGAGGGCCUUGGGAAGGGGAGGAGAAGAGCAGAAUUUGGAGGGAGUGGGGGGCGGUGCACUUGGCAAAGGUCAGACACCCCAAGACAGCUUUGAGUGUGGGAACUGUCCGAGAAGGCAUGUGCAAAAUGCUCUGCACUGUGGUAUCGUUUGUCUCCAAGGCUGCCUGAAGGGAGAAGCUCGGGCUGGCCUGGAGCGAGCUCUAUUGCAGAUGCUAGCAUGACAAAGGCAUUUCAGUGAUAAGAUAGAGAGAGCCUGGGCGGUAUGAAAAUGAUGGCCCCUAGCAUUGUCUCACCUGAGAUUUUGUGACUCCUCUAUGACAAACCCCAGUAACGGAGAAUCUUGGCAGACUGAUGUGGGCUGCAUUGCAAUGGAUGGGCCCUCUACUCUGGAAUAAGCUGAAAAGGCCCCUAUGAAAAAAGCAAGAUGUAAUGCCACUUUUUCAUGCUCAUUGCGGGCCUCUGAUAGCUGCAAUGGCAUGGAUUUGUAUCCCAGUUACACUGAAAGAGCUUGCGAAUUGGAUCGAGCUUAAAAGUGAAGCAAGAAAGCCCUGGAAAAUCAGUGCUCAAAGGCACAUUUCAACUGGAAAGCAUUUCUUUAAAGCCUAUACUCCUUGGUGGUUGACAAUCCUAUUAAAGAAUCAACGCCUUGCAAUUAACUGAGAAAAGAGAUAUAAAAAUAAAUAAGAGAGGGGAAAACACACGCAUUCAGUUUAGGGCCAUCUGAGCGGGACAAACCAUGCAAUGGUCCUUUCUGAUAUAAAGAUACCACAGACAUGAAUCCUCUUUUUUUUUGCAUUGAUGUUUGAGUGGCAUGACCAGCAUCUGCCAAUUUCCUAUUGUCGCCACUCUUCACUUCACUGACAGCAUAAAGGGUUGUGAAAGAAAAUGGGAUUUCUCUUAGAGACUUUGAAUCAGAUAAAAAAAAGAAAAAGAAGAAGAGGAAAACAGACCAUCAAACGAAAAGCACCAGGUCUAAUGAUUCACCAUAUCAAAAGACUCAGUGACGACAAAGACAGAAGCCUCUUGAUGUAAAAAAAACAAGCUGUUCAGUUGCCAUCAUUUGCUUAUUUAAUGAAAUAAAAACACUUGGUUUUUGGACAUACAAAAAAAAAAAAAAAACACUUAACGGGUUUGGCCAAAUUUUAAUUAAAUGGAGUUAACUGGUUAACAGAUGUUCAGGAGCAGGGCCACGACCCAAACGAUCACCUGACUUCCUGAAACCUCCAUAUAUCGGGCCACCUCAUACCGUAUUGUUUGUUUGUUUCUCUCGAACCCACCCUUCCCUCUCUUUAUCAUCCACUCAGCCAACCUUAUCCCACAUUCUCUUUCUUUCAGGUUGUAUCGGGGGGUCCUAAUUGUCUGGCCUUAAUAUACGAUAGAGAUGGUACCCCCACCCUGAGUCUCUGAGCCAUCAAUUCUAGAUGCCCUGAUCAACCUGACCAUCAUCCCAUUCCCUACCCCUUCGUCUUCUUUCUACUCUUCCCCAACAUUCUGUUCAACUAACUGUUUCAUAGCUUUUUUGUGGCGUGGUCCUAGCUAGUGAAUUAGUUUUACUCUCUUUAGGUGACAUAUAGAAAUGCUUUUGCCUCCUGUUUUAUAUGAUAGACGGAUUGUUGACACUUUACAUAUUCAAAUUUUAUUACAAAUUUUAGAUAGGUUCAAAAGACUUCUUUCCUUAGAUUGAUUUUUUCAUCACAACUAAUACCUUACAAGGUACAGUAGUUGUCAGUCAACAGUCACCUACAGCCAGACUCUGUCAUCAGCAACAUUCAGCCAUUGCAGUCUUCUAAAGUAGAAAAAGAAAAGGGCCUCUUAAUGGAUCAUUGUUAAUGAGGUGCUAAUUUAGUCUUCAUUUAGUACCAUAAGAACAGCCUGGGUUUCAUAACAUGAACAUAAAACACAUAUUCCUGUUUAUUUUUCUCACCAACUCAAUCAGCAUUGUUUCUCCUCAUUACUUUGCACUUUUUCC
ensembl:lncRNA